AUGUAUAUAUAUAUAUAUAUGUAUAUAUAUAUAUAUGUAUAUAUAUAUAUAUAUAUAUAUAUAUAUAUAUAUAGAGAGAGAGAGAGAGAGAGAGAGAUUUUUAUUUUUUUUUACAUCUCAGGUACUUGUGAUGGAAACAUUUACAUUCCUAUCAUCGUAAUUCUAUGUGAAGCAAUGCUGCUUUCUUUAGCCGUAAAUGUCUACAUUAUCUGCAUGACAAGAUAUAGAGACUCGUGCCAGAACUUUUACAAUAAUUAUAUUGCUGUCUGGUGUAGUCGUGGAACAGCGAAUGAGCCUGAGCAAUCAGAUGACCAGGUUCCAGACGACACAUUAUACUCUCUGAGUGUUUCCAGAGACAGAGAGUGUGAGGAACGAGCAGAAGUGAACCCCAAUGAGUGUGUGUACUCUGCUGUGAAAACCUAG
rnacentral:lncRNA from 1 species